rnacentral:lncRNA from 1 species
UGUGACUGCGGGUGUCCUGGUUUUACAAUCUAAAGCUUUGGAAAAUAUGCCUUUAGAUCUAUUUUGAUUUUGAUAAAGAUUGUCUUUCAGUAGAUAUAUUGUUAAACAAGUGGGCAUUCGUCAUAUGCAAUAAGCAGUACAAAACUGCUAUUUGCAUCUAAAAAUGUAGCAACAGCCCUGAAUUAAGUUACUAAACUAUACCUCCGUGGCUUUACAGUGUUGUGUAGACAGAUUAGCAUAAAUUUCAAUUUUGAGUAACCAAUGGAGCACAAUGCCAAAAAAGCUUUAGUCUAAACUCUUUCACUAGGUGGUUUUGCAUUUUGGUACAUCUGUUGAAUCUGUCUUUGUGUCAGAAUUCUAUUGCUUAAAAUUGAGAUAUUAAUACUUAUUUCAUGGCAUUGGUGUGUCAAUUAAAGAAGAGACUAUAGAGAAAGCAUAGUUUAAUUAUUUCUCACAAUGAUAAAGAUCUAAAAUCAUUGUCAUUUUCAAAUAAUGAAUUAAGCUAAUACUCAAAUGAUACUUUGAAUGGAAUGCAUGAUAGAAUUUUAUAAGGUAUUGCACACAGUGAACUGCCAUGCAGUCAAAAUUCACUGAAGCCUUCAAAUAUGACUGUCAUCAAAUUUCUUGAGAUCAGGACAUUUCAAAAUGUAUACAGAGCUCAGCUUAACUAAAAAAGACCGGAGGGCCAUGAAAUAUUAGGUAGAGAGAAUGAGUACAAAUGAUGUAAUAAUAAUACUCAUAUGUUUAAUUAUUAGAAACCAGAGGGAACCAUAACUUUUUAAACAUUUUUGACAGGUGUCCAUAUGAUACCUCAUCACUAAACUGUAAUUGGACACCUUUAUUUAUAAACGUAUUAUUGAGGAAAAUCACGUCCUUCUGACUUGAAAAUUUACAGUUCCCGUAUUCCUCUGAGUGUGGAAGAAGAUCUUUUCUAUCCUUCUGGCUUCAGGUUCUCAGUUGCUGCUGGUGUGAUUCAGUCUGCAUUGCCGGAAAGCUCUGUGCAUGGCAGAUGAUGGUGUGUGUAUGCCUCCUUUCAAUUCAACUCCUUUUGCAACCUCCGGAGGUUCUGCUAUAUGUUAAUGAUAAAAAUGAAUGCAAAGGUUGUUGUGGCUUCCCUGAUGGUCUGAGCGCUGUCAGCAGAGCAGUAUCCCUCAUUGCUAACAACUGGCACACACUCAGUACAUAUUUACUGAAUGCAAAACAAGCCAUUAAACAAACAAACAAACAAAAAGGUAUGAAUAUGCUAGGAUAUUGCUUCUCUGAAAGGAUUAAGAAAUGCUUUAAAAAUUCAUUCCCCAUAAUCCCUCACACACUACACACAGCCAACAUUUGCAGCUGUGAGAAAAAUGGAUGAGCUAUUUCCUUCAUUUUUUUGUCUACACCCAGCUUAGUUUAUGACUACUCCUCCCCAACCUUACAUGUAUGAAGCAGUGAUGAUCAACAAAAAGAUACUAGCAGUUUGGGUGGGGCAGAGAGAGGAAGGAGUUGGAGGGAGGGUCAGUGGGAAAAGUUAAGGGAAGAAAGCCAGGGGAAAAUAGUGAUGGAAUUCAUUUUAAUUAAUUGAAGAUAAAACCCACAAGGAAAAACUUUGUGUAAAAUAAUAUGUGAAAUGAUGAGUAUGUGUGUGACUGUCAAUCUAUCCACAGGAAGACACCGAGUGUUUAAGACAGACUUACUGCCUGCAAACUUAACUAGCCCAAAUAACUUUAGGUUACCUCAAAAUGCUGAAUGAAUGAUGCACACAAUUCACGGGCAUUUUCAUUUUUCUUAACGGGCUCUGCAGAGCUAGGGAUGGCCUAGUUCCUUCUAUACCAAAGCCACCUACUUUAAAAAUUGUACUUGACCAUAAAAGCUUGUGCUACUGAUUCAAACUCGUUGACCUCACUAUCAAGACCUUUUUAAAAUAACCAGUCUUUUUUAUUUCCUCUUUCUUUAGCUUACAGGCCAUUGCUCUGUGUCCUUUCUUAUGACAUUAUGAAUGAUGUCCUUCCCUUAAUCUCAGGGUUACCUUGAAGAUAUUUAUAGACCUGGCUCUGAUCCCUCUAUGGGACCUCAUCAGUGUAGACUUUUCAAAUUCAGCUUUUUAUAUUUUCACGCUUCGUUUUCUAACAUUUAUUUUGGAAAAAAAAAGUUAGCAUCCCAAAAACAAUGACCUUGUGUGCAUAUUUUUUUAACCCUGUGGGUGAAAAAUAAAUUAAAAUCAAAUUACACGAAAAGGGGAAAUGGCUUUGCUGUUUAAAAUGCUUCCACAUGCAAGCAUGAGGAUUUGAGUUCGAAGAACAAUACCUACAUAAAAUGUGGGCACGGUGCCACACUGACAUUACAGUUAGAGGCAGAGCAACUGGUCUGUUGGCCAGUCAUUCUGGCAAAAGCAGCGAGCUCCAGGUUCACAAAAGGACACUGUCUAAAAAAGUAAAUUAUUAAGGAAGCUGACCAACACUCAUAUGCACACACAGAAGAAAGUCCACUCACAUAAAAAGGAAAUGACAGAUAAAAGGGAUAUUGUAGAGGUUUUAAAUAUUUGCCUGGUUAUCAUUUGCCCAGUUUGGCUUUCUACUACUUUCAUCACUGCUGCUUGGAGUGGAACGUUACUGAUUUGUUUUGCCUGUGCAUUCUUCUGUGCACAAAUUUAUUAAUGUCACUAGCUUCCUUAAGCUUUCCAUUAUUUUUGCUUAAGAUUUUUAAACCAUUUUUAUGAGUACGAGUAUUUGCCUGAAUGCAUGCGUGUGCACUACUUGCAUACCUGAUGCCUGCAGAGGUCAGAAGAGUGCAUCAGCUUCCGAGGAAUAAGAAGUGCAGAGAAGAGCCGGGCAUGGUGACGCACGCCUUUAAUCCCAGCACUCAGGAGGCAGAGGCAGGCCUGAGUUCUACAAAGUGAGCUCCAGGACAGCCAGGGCUAUACAGAGAAGCACUGUCUUGG